CUGAGAUGAAGAGCUCCUCUGAGGCUGCUCCUGAGCUGCUCCUGGGUCAGUUCACUCUGCCAGCCUCAUGUUCACUGCUGUGUGCAGAGGUUCAGGUGCUCUUUCCUCUCUGCUCCACGGAGAUCUCUUCCCAGCAGGAAGCCUGAGCAGGCCCAGGCUAUCAUCAGCUGAUUUAACACAGAUUCAGUUCAGAUCAACACUUAGCUUUCCAUUCAAUAAACACAGUCAUCCUGUGGGACUUGGCUCUUGCAGUGAAACCACAGAUCCAGAAGAGUGUGGGAGUCCAGCUCAGGGAACAGCAUCUUUUGGGACCAUUGAACAACAGGAUCUGACCUAAACUUAAUUACAGUCAAAGGUGGAACUCCAGCAGUUGAUAAAAUAUGCUAAUCCACUAUCUUCAGUUAAAGUGAGUAUUGGAAAGAAGAUUUCAGACCAAAAAAAAAGAGCAAAUUUCAACUAAGAAGAAAAAAAUGGAACUUUGUGGUUCAGAAAUGCCUGUGGUUCAGCACUUUAUUAUUGCUGGCAACACUGGCACAGCUUAGGGGUAUGAGCCCCUUUUUAAAAGCAUAUUUCCAUCACAGUGGAUUCUGAAAGCCUGUCAGAAAAAUCAACCCUUUUAGCAGCAUUUACAUCUCUACUCAGCCCUCAGUGUUGCUGAAAUCUCUGUGGGACUUAAAGGAAUCCUUAAAUGCUGCCCUCAGAGACAUUUUCCUGAGGAACUAAUUUUCUGGAACACGGCCUCUAAAUGCAUGGAAAACCAGCAAAGCGUCUUUGUCUUCCCAUUUCCCUAAUUUCAGAUCAAUUAUAAAAACACUUAUUUUCAAAAGUUCUUCCAAAGGAGCUCUUUUCUUGUCACCGUGUGUCACUCUGUCAGUCACAUUUCAAGCCAUGGAUUUGAAAUCCGACCUGCAGAAGCAGCUACCUUUGUCAUAAAUUUAACUUGGCAGCUUCUAUGUGGGA